CUUGUGCCUAGGACUAGCAAUUCUAAUAAGCGUUUGUGGACACAUGGCUGUGAAUGUCUCCACUCACUUCUGUUCUUGGUUUUCAAUUUCCUCCAGCUGCCUCCACGCUCCCUGCGUGGCGCUGAAGAGUCAGCCCGUUUCAGCAGCUCCCCGCAGUCCGCUCCACUGAGGAUCCGCGUCGGGCUACUCGUGCUCAGUGGCCGUGCUGGGAACACGCAUGCCCGCUGCCUGGUUUCACUGCCCAAGUUUGCAUUUGUGUUAUGAUUGUGUUGGCAUCAAGCAGUCCUCUUUAAUUGCUGCUGGCUAACAAGAAAAGAACAGAGGCGGAUUUAAUGCGUAAAUGAUGCGUUGAAGCCGAGUGAAGGCCAAAUGAUGUAACAGCCCACUGUGCAAACAAAAGUACUGCAGCAAUUCCAACAGAGAAAAGAGGGGGAGAAUUGAGUCAUUCCCCUGCACACGGCAGCACCGUACGCAGGUCGAACUCGAACGGAGAUCCGAUCCCACUGGUCAGUCCCAGGGUGCUAAAAGCAGCAGUUUGGUUCCAGCCAAACAACAUCAUCCUUCCCAUUAAACUGAUAUGUUACUUUGAA